rnacentral:lncRNA from 1 species
GUUGCUGUUGUGAUGUAGCUGAGAAGAGGUCUGCUGCCUGCAAUGGGUCCAUCUCUCUCAAGUUAUUGCAGUAUUGUAGCUCUCAAAGUUCAAAAAAGUAUGGUGGAAGCUGUUGCCAAGGUUCCGACCAGAAAAGAAAGCCAGUAUAAAAGGGUCCACACCACUGAUCUCUACUACAGGGAAUGCACAGCAUAUUGAGCGCCCUCGACUGAAGCCAACCUUGUCCCGGAAGUUGGUGCUUCACAACUUUGCGGCAGCACUUCGUUUGCACGGCCUGUGGAGACAAGGUUUCUUAGACAUGGCCAUGGCCCUCAAGGAAGAUGCCGAGGCGACAGGCAGUUCCUCCAGUGACCGUGAAAAGGUCCCCUGGGGCACAAGUCUAAUUUGGCACCCCUACCUUUCUCCUGCAGCUUUUCUGUCUGCUUAGCUAACCAGCAAGUUUAUCCUUGCAAGCAUUUUGGGUCAAGAACAACUUUCACCAGGAAGAAGUGCAAGACGAGUGAUUGAAGAAAAUAAAGUUGCUUCUGUGAUCUAAGAACUUGAGGACUGAAAUGUUGCACCUUUGUGUAUAUAUGCUAUGCAGUGCAUUCAUAUCACAAAGUGCAAAGUGUUUUAUCUCUGCAGCCAUGUCAGUGUGUUGGCAAGACAAUUUUCUCAAUGGUGACCUGCUGCUUUGUCUAUGAGCUGCC